rnacentral:rRNA from 1 species
AUUGAACGCUGGCGGCAUGCCUUACACAUGCAAGUCGAACGGCAGCAUGGAGAGCUUGCUCUCUGAUGGCGAGUGGCGAACGGGUGAGUAAAGCAUCGGAACGUACCGUGUAAUGGGGGAUAACGUAGCGAAAGUUACGCUAAUACCGCAUACGACCUGAGGGUGAAAGCAGGGGAUCGCAAGACCUUGCGUUAUACGAGCGGCCGAUGUCAGAUUAGCUAGUUGGUGAGGUAAAGGCUCACCAAGGCGACGAUCUGUAGCGGGUCUGAGAGGAUGAUCCGCCACACUGGGACUGAGACACGGCCCAGACUCCUACGGGAGGCAGCAGUGGGGAAUUUUGGACAAUGGGGGCAACCCUGAUCCAGCCAUGCCGCGUGAGUGAAGAAGGCCUUCGGGUUGUGAAGCUCUUUCGGCCGGGAAGAAAUCGCACAGGCUAAUACUCUGUGUGGAUGACGGUACCGGCAUAAGAAGCACCGGCUAACUACGUGCCAGCCGCCGCCGUAA